GACGAACGCUGGCGGCGUGCUUAACACAUGCAAGUCGAACGGUAAGGCCCCUUCGGGGGUACACGAGUGGCGCACGGGUGCGUAACACGUGAGCAACCUGCCCUUGACUCUGGAAUAACAGUUGGAAACAGCUGCUAAUACUGGAUAUUCAUCGUCUCCUUCCUGGGGGGUGGUGGAAAGCUCCGGCGGUCAGGGAUGGGCUCGCGGCCUAUCAGCUUGUUGGUGAGGUAAUGGCUCACCAAGGCUUCGACGGGUAGCCGGCCUGAGAGGGCGACCGGCCACACUGGGACUGAGGUACGGCCCAGACUCCUACGGGAGGCAGCAGUGGGGAAUAUUGCACAAUGGGCGCAAGCCUGAUGCAGCAACGCCGCGUGCGGGAUGACGGCCUUCGGGUUGUAAACCGCUUUCAGUAGGGACGAAGGGUGACUGACGGUACCUACAGAAGAAGGACCGGCUAACUACGUG
rnacentral:rRNA from 1 species